rnacentral:pre_miRNA from 1 species
GUGGCUGGCGGCUGGGUGCCUUCUACUGGUGCUGUGCAGAGGCUUUCCCUAAGGCUGCUGUGAGCCUGUAGGGUUUCCCCCUAAGCUACGAAGCUGG